rnacentral:rRNA from 1 species
UCGGCACGAGGCUGCCCAGUAGUCAUACGCUUGUCUCAAAGAUUAAGCCAUGCAUGUCUAAGUAUAAACACGUUUUUGUACUGUGAAACUGCGAAUGGCUCAUUAUAUCAGUUAUAGUCCACUCGAUAGUACCUUACCUACUUGGAUAACCGUAGUAAUUCUAGAGCUAAUACAUGCAUAAAUACCCAACUGCUUGUCCGGGCGGGUAGCAUUUAUUAGAUUGAAACCAAUGCAGUCUUCGGGCUGGUAUUGUGUUGAGGUCAUAAUAACUGUGCGGAUCGCGCUUUUGCGCGAUAAAUCGAUUGAGUUUCUGCCCUAUCCAGCUUUGGAUGGUAGGAUAUGGGCCUACCAUGGCAUUAACGGGUAACGGGGAAUUAGGGUUUUGAUUCCGGAGAGGGAGCCUUAGAAACGGCUACCACAUCCAAGGAAGGCAGCAGGCGCGGUAAAUUACCCAAUCCUGACACAGGGAGGUAGUGACAAUAAAUAACAAUGCUCUGGCUCUUUCGAGUCGGGCAAUUGGAAUGAGAACAAUUUAAAUCCCUUAACGAGGAUCAAUUGGAGGGCCAAGUCUGGUGCCAGCAGCCGCGGUAAUUCCAGCUCCAAUAGCGUAUAUNAAAGUUGUUGCCAGUUAAAAAGCUCGUAGUUGGAUUUCUGUUUUGGAUUUCCGGUCCGCUCCCUCUGGGAGUUGUGUACUUAUGGAAAUUCGAGGCAUUUUUUGUGAGGCUGCCUUUCUGCCAUUAAGUUGGUUGGGUUGGUGGACUUGCAUCGUUUACUGUGAAAAAACCUCGUGCCGNAUUCGGCACGAGGAAGAAGAGAAAGGCACCCACUUGUUCUUCAUUUUCAUCUUCGCCGCCUUCCGAAGAUGAAGUUUCAACAUUGCAAUCCCGACACUGGUUGCCAGAAGAAGCUCGAGAUUGACGAUGACAGAAAACUUCCAGCCUUUUUUGAACAAAGGAUCUCCCCAGAGGUCAGUGGAGAUCCCUGGGUGAGGGAGUUCCAGGGGUAUGUCUUCAGAUCAUGGGAGGAUGUGACAGCAAGGGUUUCCAUUGAACCAGGAGUUUUACCUCCGGCCGGUUCCGCUUUGCUGAACCGAGGAAUCCCUGGUUUCCGGGGGUAUUGUAGGAAAAAUGGGGAACCCAAAAGGGAACUGCCCCGGGAUGCAUU